rnacentral:lncRNA from 1 species
CCCGUUUGGAUGGGGGUUUUCAUUUCCGAAGGAGGCACAGCCCGCGGAGCGCUCUGAAGGGCUGGAGCCCCAAGUUACUCCUCGCCAGCGCCGGCCGCCCGCUGUCACUCGCGCUGGCCGGCCGGGGGAAGGGACCCGCACGCCGGGCUUUGUUGUGGAAAUCCCGGUUACCUGUCCCUUAUUUCGCGUGAGUCUUUGGCGUCCACGACCUUGAGUCUGACGGAAAGUCAGUCGGCCUCAAGCAUGAAGCAGGAGUGGUCCCAGGGCUACAGGGCCCUCCCUUCGCUCUCCAACCACGGCUCUCAGAAU